AUUGAACGCUGGCGGCAGGCCUAACACAUGCAAGUCGAGCGAGCGGCGGACGGGUGAGUAAUGUCUGGGAAACUGCCUGAUGGAGGGGGAUAACUACUGGAAACGGUAGCUAAUACCGCAUACCAUCAGAUGUGCCCAGAUGGGAUUAGCUAGUAGGUGGGGUAACGGCUCACCUAGGCGACGAUCCCUAGCUGGUCUGAGAGGAUGAACAGCCACACUGGAACUGAGACACGGUCCAGACUCCGACGGGAGGCAGCAGUGGGGAAUAGUCCACAAUGGUCGGAAGCCUGAUGCAGCCACGCCGCGUGUGUGAAGAAGGCCUUCGGGUUGUAAAGCACUUUCAGCGGGGAGGCGUUACCCGAAGAGGAAGCACCGACUAACUCCGUGCCAGCCGCCGCGGUAAUUC
rnacentral:rRNA from 1 species